CCUACGGGUGGCAGCAGUGGGGAAUAUUGGACAAUGGGGGGAACCCUGAUCCAGCCAUGCCGCGUGUGUGAAGAAGGCCCUCGGGUUGUAAAGCACUUUCAGUGAGGAAGAACGCCUGGUGGUUAAUACCCAUCAGGAAAGACAUCACUCACAGAAGAAGCACCGGCUAACUCCGUGCCAGCAGCCGCGGUAAUACGGAGGGUGCGAGCGUUAAUCGGAAUUACUGGGCGUAAAGCGCGCGUAGGUGGCUUGAUAAGCCGGUUGUGAAAGCCCCGGGCUCAACCUGGGAACGGCAUCCGGAACUGUCAAGCUAGAGUGCAGGAGAGGAAGGUAGAAUUCCCGGUGUAGCGGUGAAAUGCGUAGAGAUCGGGAGGAAUACCAGUGGCGAAGGCGGCCUUCUGGAUUGACACUGACACUGAGGUGCGAAAGCGUGGGUAGCAAACAGGAUUAGAUACCCCUGUAGUC
rnacentral:rRNA from 1 species